rnacentral:rRNA from 1 species
GAGCCUACCAUGGUGGUAACGGGUAACGGGGUGUUAGGGCACGACACCGGAGAGGGAGCCUGAGAAACGGCUACCACAUCCAAGGAUGGCAGCAGGCGCGCAAAUUACCCAAUCCCGACACGGGGAGGUAGUGACAAUAAAUAACAAUACGGGGUUCUUUCGGAUUUCGUAAUUGGAAUGAGUACAAUUUAAAUCUCUUAACGAGGAACAAUUGGAGGGCAAGUCUGGUGCCAGCAGCCGCGGUAAUUCCAGCUCCAAUAGCGUAUAUUAAAGUUGCUGCAGUUAAAAAGCUCGUAGUUGAAUUUCGGGACCAAUAUGUCGGUCGUGCCUCGGUACGUACUGGCAUCGUUGGUUUCUCCCUUCUGACGAACCAUGAUGUCAUUUAUUUGGUGUCGUGGGGAAUCAGGACUGUUACUUUGAAAAAAUUAGAGUGUUUAAAGCAGGCUCACGCUUGAAUACAUUAGCAUGGAAUAAUGAAAUAGGACGUUCGAUCCUAUUUUGUUGGUUUCUAGGAUUGACGUAAUGAUUAAUAGGGAUAGUUGGGGGCAUUAGUAUUCAAUUGUCAGAGGUGAAAUUCUUGGAUUUAUUGAAGACUAACUACUGCGAAAGCAUUUGCCAAGGAUGUUUUCAUUAAUCAAGAACGAAAGUUAGGGGAUCGAAGACGAUCAGAUACCGUCGUAGUCUUAACCAUAAACUAUGCCGACUAGGGAUCGGAUGAUGUUAAUUUUUUAAUGACUCAUUCGGCGCCUUACGGGAAA